AAGCACCGGCUAACUACGUGCCAGCAGCCGCGGUCAUACGUAGGGUGCAAGCAUUAUCCGGAGUGACUGGGCGUAAAGAGUUGCGUAGGCGGUUUAAUAAGUGAAUAGUGAAACCUGGUGGCUCAACCAUACAGACUAUUAUUCAAACUGUUAAACUCGAGAAUGGUAGAGGUAACUGGAAUUUCUAGUGUAGGAGUGAAAUCCGUAGAUAUUAGAAGGAACACCGAUGGCGUAGGCAGGUUACUGGGCCAUUUCUGACGCUAAGGCACGAAAGCGUGGGGAGCGAACCGGAUUAGAUACCCGGGUAGUCCACGCCGUAAACGAUGGAUACUAGCUGUUGGAGGUAUCGACCCCUUCAGUAGCGAAGCUAACGCGUUAAGUAUCCCGCCUGUGGAGUACGGCCGCAAGGCUAAAACAUAAAGGAAUUGACGGGGACCCGCACAAGCGGUGGAUUAUGUUCUUUAAUUCGAUGAUAACCGAAGAACCUUACCAGGGCUUGACAUCCAGGGAAGGUCUGCGAAAGUAGACUGUGCCUUUUGGAACCCUGUGACAGGUGAUGCAUGGCCGUCGUCAGCUCGUGUCGUGAGAUGUUAGGUUAAGUCCUUCAACGAGCGCAACCCUUGUGAAUAGUUGUAUUUUUCUAUUCAGACUGCCCCGGUAACGGGGAGGAAGGAGGGGAUGAUGUCAGGUCAGUAUUUCCCUUACGUCCUGGGCUAGAAACGUAAUACAAUGGCUAGUACAAUGCGCAGCGAAGCCGCGAGGUGAAGCAAAUCGCAUCAAAGCUAGUCCCAGUUCGGAUUGUAGGCUGAAACUCGCCUGCAUGAAGUCGGAAUCGCUAGUAAUCGCAAAUCAGCAAGUUGCGGUGAAUACGUUCCCGGGUCUUGUACACACCGCCCGUCAAACCAUGAAAGUGACCAACACCCGAAGUCCGAUUCGUCGGCCUAAGGUGGGGGGCAUGAUUGGGGUUAAGUCGUAACAAGGUAUCCGUACCGGAAGGUGCGGAUG
rnacentral:rRNA from 1 species